GGGUAUACACAAAAUGGCCCAUCUGUCACGUCCACAGCCUGAACUCGCAGCUAUGUCGUUGCCUUUUAGUUUUUUACAACGGUCAGGGCAUCCUGAUGCGGCCAUUGUGGAAAACAGCGUCUUAGAUGGGUAUCUUGCGAUGACCCUAGAGUCAGAAGUUUAUGAAAGUACAAAAAUUGGUGGCUGGGUAGAGAUGAAACGAUCAAAUCCCAAGUAUUUGCAGUGGGCAGUUACAAUGUCUGAUACCUCUGUGGAUGAUUUUGGAUGGAGUUUGAGUCUUGGUGGUUUGCUAGGAGGUCCAAGAAAGUGGGACCAUUUUCAAGUGGAAAGCUCUCUCAAUUUCAACGUAGGAAAGAAGUGCAAGUUGCAACCAGGUCUACUCUAUGUGAUCGAUGGAGCCACUCAGUUUCCUGCAUUGAUGUUCCGCACUAAUUGGUCCUUAUGAAGUGUGC
rnacentral:misc_RNA from 1 species